rnacentral:rRNA from 1 species
AACGUAGGUGGCGAGCGUUAUCCGGAAUUACUGGGCGUAAAGCGUGUGCAGGCGGGCUAGCAAGUGGUGUAUGAAAGCUCCCGGCUCAACCGGGAAGGGUUAUGCCAGACUGCUAGUCUUGAGUGCGAGAGAGGAGCGUGGGAUUCCGGGUGUAGUGGUGAAAUGCGUAGAGAUCCGGAGGAACACCAGUGGCGAAGGCGACACGCUGGGCCGUACCUGACACUGAUGCGCGACAGCAUGGGGAGCAAACAGG